rnacentral:rRNA from 1 species
AGAGUUUGAUCAUGGCUCAGAACGAACGCUGGCGGCGUUAACACAUGCAAGUCGAACGCGAACGGGUUCUUCGGGACCUUAGUAGAGUGGCGCACGGGUGAGUAACGCGUAAGUAAUCUACCCUGGCAUCUGGAAUAACCUGCCGAAAGGUGAGCUAAUACCGGAUACGUUCAUGGAGGUGCGAAUCUUCAUGAAGAAAGGUGGCCUCUUCUUGAAAGCUACCGUGCGAGGAUGAGCUUGCGUACCAUUAGCUAGUAGGUAGGGUAACGGCCUACCUAGGCAACGAUGGUUAGCGGGUCUGAGAGGAUGAUCCGCCACACUGGAACUGGAACACGGACCAGACUCCUACGGGAGGCAGCAGUGAGGAAUAUUGCGCAAUGGGGGCAACCCUGACGCAGCGACGCCGCGUGGAUGAUGAAGGCCUUUGGGUCGUAAAAUCCUGUCAGAAGGAAAGAAGUGUAUCAUACCCAAUACGUAUGAUAUUUGACGGUACCUUCAAAGGAAGCACCGGCUAACUCCGUGCCAGCAGCCGCGGUAAUACGGAGGGUGCAAGCGUUGUUCGGAAUUACUGGGCGUAAAGCGCGCGUAGGCGGUUUGUUAAGUCAGAUGUGAAAGUCCACGGCUCAACCAUGGAAGUGCAUUUGAAACUGGCAGACUUGAGUAUCGGAGGGGGUGGUGGAAUUCCCGGUGUAGAGGUGAAAUUCGUAGAUAUCGGGAGGAAUACCGGUGGCGAAGGCGACCACCUGGCCGGAUACUGACGCUGAGGUGCGAAAGCGUGGGGAGCAAACAGGAUUAGAUACCCUAGUAGUCC